GACGAACGCUGGCGGCGCGCUUAACACAUGCAAGUCGAGCGAAGCGGCGGACGGGUGAGUAACACGUGAGUAACCUGCCUUAGACAUUGGGAUAGCCUCGGGAAACCGGGAUUAAUACCACAUGGUCUAAUAUGGACUAGCGUCCCAUGCGACAGAUGGUGAGGUAACGGCCCAACAAGGCGACGAUGGGGAGCCGGCCUUAGAGGGUGAACGGCAACAUUGGAACUGAGAAACGGUCCAAACUCUACGGGAGGCAGCAGGGGGGAAUAUUGCACAAUGGAGGGACCUCUGAUGCAGCGACGCCGCGUGAACGAAGAAGGCUUUCGAGUCGUAAAGUUCUUUUAUAUGGGAAGCGGUACCAUAAGAAAAAGCCCCGGCUAACUACGUGCCAGCCGCCGCGGUAAUUC
rnacentral:rRNA from 1 species